rnacentral:tRNA from 1 species
UAGCUCAGUUGGUAGAGUGAUUGCCUCACAUGCACAAGGCCCUGGGUUCAAUCCCCAG